UAAUAGUUUGGUUCUAGCUAUCAAUGUAAUAUUUCGAAAACAGAUACAUGACAGUUUAUGCCCUCCCACCAGUAGUUUUACAAGAAUGAAAUUAACUAAAAGAAAUAUUCAAUUUUAUAAACAAAAUAUUAAAAGCUAUUAAAUAUUUAAGUAAAUCUGGCGCCAUCAGUACAGAAAUUUUAAAAAUUCAGGAGUCUGAGAUUAAGAAAACGAAAAAUAAAUUGGUUAAAGCCGUGCCAGCCGCUGCGGUUAAACGGCGAAUUUUAAUUACAUAACACGGUUUAAGGACGGUUAAUAGGUUAUUAAUUGAAGUUUCCAUACUCAUCGAAAGAUCAAAUUUAAACAUGAAAAAUUUUUUAAAGACUUCUUUAUUUUGACGCCGUGAAAGCUUAGACAAAAACCAGGAUUAGAUACCCUGCUAUACUAAGCCCCCAAAUCUUUACACCAGGGUACUACGAGCACAUGCUUAAAACCCAAAGAACUUGGCGGUGCUUUACAUCUUUUUAGGGGAGCCUGUCCUAUAACUGACAAUCCACGAUAAACUUAACCUUUUUUUGUUUAAUCAGCUUGUAUACUUCCGUCGUCAGCUUACCUUUAAGAGAAAAGUAGUAAGCAAAUAAAACUUAUUUUUGACGUCAGGUCGCAGUGCAGCUAAUAAAAAGGAAGUGAUGGGCUACAAUUAAAAAUUAUAAUUACGGAAUUUCUCAUGAAACUGAGAAACUGAAGGAGGACUUAAUAGUAAAUUAAAAUUAAUAAAUUUAUUUGAAAUUGCUCUAAGGCAUGCACACAUCGCCCGUCGCUCUCACCAAUAAAGGCGAGAUAAGUCGUAACAAAGUAGGCGUAGCGGAAGCUGCUCCUG
rnacentral:ncRNA from 1 species